AGACACACAGUCUUACAGCUGGGUUCGCUCUGUGAGUGACUACUUCCUGUCUCCGGAAAAAAUAACUGCUCACAGGCUUUUAAGCCAAAACGCGCCAUUUGAUAUCCAGCCAUGUGGAAUUUUCUGCUCUUGCUUACUACAUGAUGUCAAGAGUCACUGUGGUGAAGAAAUAACAUCAUGGGGAACCGGUGCUCUGGCGCCAGGAGGGAUAAGGAAAUGAGAAAAGGAUCCUGUAAAAAGGAUAAACGGAAUGACGACUCUGACAAAAAGAAAAGUGGAGACAUUUGUUCAGCUGCACAGUCAUCUCAUUUAAAGGACGUAAAAGAUGAAAUGGAAACAUUGAAGGAAGAGACUUUUUCUUCUGAGACAAAGGACUCUACUGAGAACUUUAUCAGUUUGGCAAAUGAUGCAUCUCAUGAAAUUCACAAUCCAAGCUCAUCCAAGCUUGAAUCAGAUGAAGAGAAAGCAACUUGGGUGGACAGUAACAUGCCUGAGCUUAUUCAGAGUGUAGUUCCAGUGAUGCCCAUAGCUGACCAGAUUCUCAAGUUGAAGAUAAUCCACAAGGAGACGUAUGACCAAAUCGAAGCCUCGCCGGUGAACCAGGAUCGGAUGAGAAAACUCUUCAGGGCUCUUAAUUCUCCAAAGGCAAAAGCAGCUUUCUACGAUAUCCUUGGAAAAAUUCAACCUCAGACUUGUGGAACUGAAGAUAUCAUUAAAAACGUCAUCAAAAAUAACAAAGAAUACUUGAGGAAAAAGUGCGCAUGGGAGUUGGAAGGCACCGAAAAAGAUCACAAAGAAAUAAAAUUAUUGGAUCAGAUUUAUACGGAGGUUCACAUUGUUCAAGGAGAAAAUGAACAUGUCAAUAAGCAACAUGAGAUUUGGGAGAUUGAAGACAAGUUUAGAACUCAAGCAACAGAAGGAAUUAAGAUAAACUGCAACAAUAUCUUUCAAAGCGGACCAGAAAUGAGAGCCAUUAGAACAGUGAUGACCAAGGGAAUUGCUGGAAUCGGUAAAACUGUGUCUGUAAAAAAGUUCAUUCUUGACUGGGCAGAUGGGAAAGCGAAUCCAGACCUGGACUUCAUCUUCAUGAUUCCAUUCAGGGAGCUUAAUUUGGUCAAAGACGAUGAGUUCAGCCUUGAGACUCUUGUUAAAGAAUUCCAUCCUGAACUCAAGAACACAGCAGUCAAUAAAAUAUUUGCUGAUAACAAAGUUUUGUUCAUUUUUGAUGGCCUUGAUGAAAGUCAGCUUAAACUGAACUUCCUAAAAACGAAAAGAUUGACAGAUCCAACAAAGGAAUCAUCCGUAGACAUCCUGGUGACCAAUCUGAUUAGGGAACAUCUUCUGCCCUCUGCACUCGUCUGGAUAACUUCAAGACCAGGAGCCGUUCAGCGCAUCCCCAAAGAAUAUGUCCAUCAGUGGACAGAAAUCAAAGGUUUCAAUGAUCCACAGAAAAUACUGUACUUCAGGAACAGAGUUCAGAACAAAAUGGUUGCUGAACAGAUUAUUGAUCAUAUUACGACAUCACGGAGCUUAUUUAUCAUGUGUCACAUACCCAUCUUCUGUUGGAUUGCCUCAAAGGUUCUUGAGUACUUGCUUUCAAAAAUGGAAAACGGUCGAGAGAAAACCACUAAGAUACCCACAACUCUCAUUGAAAUGUACACACACUUCUUUUGUAUUCAGAUAAAGAUCGCUGCUGAGAAAUACGACAAGGAGAACGAGCUAGAUAUCACUGAAAUCUUCAGAUUGAAUGAAGAUUUCAUCUUCAAGCUGGGCAGGAUGGCAUUUGAAAAACUGAACAAAGGAGAAAUUAUAUUCAGCAGUGAUGAUCUAAAAAGUUAUGACAUCGACACGAAGAAAGCUGGAGUCGACUGUGGGUUGUGUACCACAAUAUUCAAAGAAGAGAGCAUCUUUCACUCAAAGAAGCUUUACUGCUUUGUGCAUUUGACAAUUCAGGAGUACUUUGCUGCUCUCUUUGUGUACAGAAGCUUUGCAAGUAAAACAAUCAAUUCUCAAAGCCUCAAAGAUUUCCUUCUGAUAGGAUCUGAGGAAGAGCUGAAGGAAACCUUGGAUGUUCACCCAGUUGAUCUGCCUUUGGAUGAGCUAAUGGAAAUUGCUAUAGCAAACUCAACUUUGAGAAAGACAGGAGAACUGGACAUGUUUCUUAGGUUCCUCAUUGGCAUGUCCUUAGAGUCGACACAAAAUCAGCUUCAAGGCCUCAUUCAGCAAACAGAGAAACACUCUGAAGUUGUUGAGGAGAUCAGGACAAGCAUAACAGAAAUUGAUCUUUUGGACUGCUCUCCAGACAGAUGUCUGAAUCUGGUUCACUGUUUGGCUGAACUGAAAGAUGAUUCCCUGUAUGACAGUGUGAGAAAGUUUCUGAAUCCAAAUCAGUACCCAGAAACAGAGCUCACCCCUGUUCAGUGUUCAGCUUUGGCUGACUUAAUGCUGAUGUCAACUACGCCGAUAGAGGAAUUUGACUUGACGAAAUACACAACAAAAGAAAAGGGCAGUUUCAGGAUUAUCCCAGCUGUGAGGAACUGCAGAAAAGCCAGAAUAUCAGGUGCAGAUCUUAAUCCCUGGCUUUGUGAAACAAUCUCUUCGGCUCUGUGGAGUCCACGCUCUCCACUAACUGAACUGCAUCUGGUGCAUAACACUUUUUAUGAAAAAGGUACUGGUGUACUGAUUGAUGGACUGACAAACUCUCCAUGUAAACUGGAGGCUCUCAGUCUUUCAGGACACGGACUCUCAACAUCACUGGCAGAAGAGUUGGCCUCGGCUGUAAAAUCAAUAAUCGCCAACAUAAGAGAACUGGAGCUGAGUGAAAAUGUGUUGAGAAACUCACUACUGCCGGUGAUCUCUGAGGCUCUUCAGUGCCAAAAAUUGGAGAAGCUCAGGCUGAACAGAAAUUAUGAGAUUCAACAAAUCUGCAAUAAGAUAGUGAAGGCAUUCACCACCAACUCGACAAAUCUGAGAGAACUAGAACUGAAUUACACCAAUUUUGCCGACUCAGAAGUUGAGAUCUUAUCAACGGCAUUGAUGAGCACAAGCUGUGCUCUGGAGACCCUGAGACUCAGUCACAACAAGUUGACUGAGAAAGGUUGCGAGACCCUGGCUUUGGCUCUCACUUCCAGACCUACACCUUUAAGAGAACUGGACUUGAGCUACAAUGACCUGCAUGAUUCUGGAGUAGAGACAUUCUGUAGAGCACUGACAAGUUCACAUUGUGGUUUAGAGAUAUUAAGGCUAUCAUUCUGUAAAGUAACAGAAGAUGGAUGUUCCUCCUUGGCAAAGGCUCUGAUGUCUGACCACUGCAACCUCAGGGAGUUGGACCUAAGCUUUAAUCACCUGACAAAGCAAGGAGUCAAAACCCUGAUGGAAAAACAGAGAGAUUCAAACUGCAGUCUAGAAAAUCUUAAUGUGGACCAUAAUGAAGAAUGCUGGGUUAACCAUAAACUGCUGCGAAGGUAUGCCUGUGAUCUGACGCUGGAUGAAAACACUGCAGGGAGAACAAUCACUUUGACCCAAGACAAUAAACAAGCACAUUUUCAUCAAGAGAAGCAACAUUAUCCUUACCAUCCAGACAGAUUUGAUUCUUCACAGAUUCUUUGUAAAGAGGGUCUGACAGAACGCCACUACUGGGAAGUUGAGUUUCACCGUUUAUCAGACGGUGAGGUGGGAGUGGCAUACAAAAGUAUCACCCGGAGUGGAGACUCUAGUCCUGAGUAUUCUUUAGGACAGAAUGAGAAAUCUUGGUCCUGGUCCAUAGAUGGAACUUUUUCACACAGUGGUUCCACCGAAUGGUUUUUGACUGAGUUUAAAACGUUGAGCCUUGGAGUGUAUUUGGAUUGGCCAGCAGGUAUUUUGUCCUUCUUUGAAGUGUCUCCAGAUGAAUUGACUCACCUGUACACGGUACGCACAACUUUUACUGAACCACUCUAUCCUGGUUUUGGUUUAACUUACGGAUCAAUGUACAUAAAAGAAACAGAAAUGGAGGAAAGAAUGAACUAAAUAAGGUUGCUGUGAGGCAAAGACAAUGGAUUAAACAACGCAGCACAAGAAUGCUUUUAUUCAGCUUCUACAAACGCUAGGUCACCUUGAACGACUGAUGUGCGUCCGCGCUGUGCGGGAGUGAGCUGUCCGUAUAGGACCAUAAAUGUCAGAGCAUAGACACUCCUCCUGACUGACUGGUUGCUUUGGUUUGGAAAUUGUGUAUUUUUCUAAAUGCUAUUAGGGGCACAGGAAAGAGGCAGCGGGACUUGAUUUUUUCACAGAUUAGCUCUCAUUUUCUACUUUCAGGACAUAAUGAGACUUUUAAACAAUAUGAAAAUAAUAUAUCUUAAAAUCUCCCAUUUCGUCAAUAGAUUUCUGCUGAUUCCAUCUUACUGCCAUCACCACAUUCAUUCACUGUUAUUCAGCCAGAACAAAAGGAGGGAAAAAUCUCUACUUUCUUACUCUUAACCAUAACUGGAGCAGAGGAUUUGAUCAGAUUAGCUGGUUCAGACGGGUAUUGCUCUGGAAGAGUCGAAAUCUACCACAAUGGUGCCUGGGGAACGGUCUGUGACGAUAGAUGGGACAGAAGUGAGGCACAAGUUGUUUGCAGACAGUUGGGUUGUGGUGAGCAGUCAGACAUUCCUCCACCAGGCUACUUUGGUCCAGGCACUGGACCGAUCUGGAUGGACGAUGUGAAAUGUUCAGGAAGCGAAACGUCUCUCUCCACAUGUUCGCACCGGGGAUUUGGAACACACAACUGUGAACACUAUGAGGAUGUUGGUGUCAUUUGUUCAUAUCAUAAAAUCCUACCAUAUGGGUCAUGCAAUGGAAAUGUUCAAAUAUAUCAUGACGGCGCCUGGAGGCUGAUUGAUAAUAAUAACUUCAACAUGGAUGCUGCUAAUGUGGCCUGCAGACAGCUGGGUUGUGGCCCAGCAUCAUCGAUCUAUAGCUACAACUCCAACUCCAACAUCUCUCUUUAUAAAAUGACGUGCUCUGGAAGUGAAAGUUCUCUAGCAGAGUGUCGAAGCGGUUCUGUGGUAACCAGCUCUGGAAGAUAUUCUGGUGUUCGGUGUGCAGGUCACCCAGUACGAUUAAUCGGGCCGUCCCGGUGCUCUGGAAGAGUUGAAAUUUACUACAGUGAUGCGUGGGGAACGGUGUGCGAUAAUGGCUGGGACAUGAAUGAUGCCCAGGUGGUCUGCAGACAGUUGGGUUGUGGUACAGCGGUGGCUGCUCCUCACGCUGCCUACUUUGGAAAAGGAAUGGAUAACAUCUGGGUUGAUAAUGUGAGCUGUACAGGGAGGGAAACGUACCUAACUGAAUGUCCAUUUAGUGGAUUUCAAGCAUACAGCCGCAGCCACAGUCAGGAUGCAGGUGUCAUCUGUUCAGGUAAGGACAUGCUCUCAAUUGUUAUUUUUGCCUUGCUUUAGACAUCCACAGACCACAGUUUUUGGCUGAAACUAUUAUACAUUUUGUCCAAUUCUAGUUUCUUUUUAAAUAUAGUAAGAUAAGUAUUGACUUAGAGUUGUGGUUAGCCAAUUUUUAAAAAGACCAUUCAAAGACUUCUUUUCAGCAAGUUCCCAAGGGUUUUUUAUCCAGUGCUGAGCUGGGAAGAAGUUGACAUUUCUGAUGUUUUAUGAAGGCAUUCUUGGAAAAAGGAAAAUAUUCCUGCAUAAUAAGACUUUUUGAUCAAAUGGAAGGAUCAAACACUCCUUCCUGGCUUGUUUAAGUAUUAUUGUCAGAAUGUAAAUAAAUUAAAAAAAAUAAAAUAGCGGUAAAUGAUUAGACUUCUUUAAUCUACUUCUCAUUUUAUAAGUGUGGCAGUAUGCCCUGUGGCCUUUGAACGCACCACACAAGUGCCUGAAUCUAAUUGUUGUGGCGCUGGCUGCCUGUAUAUAAAGGAUCCUCCCUCACCUGGCUGACAUGACGUUGUUUUCCUUCCGGUUCAGACCUCGGUGUUUGUUGGUGCUGCACGCUAGCUGCAAAUUAAUGCGUGCGCGCAAACGAUGCGCUUAACGACGCUCUGAUCGCCGCCGCCUGUACAAGCUCUACGUUUCCUCCUUCCUUUUAGAGGCACUACAUAAAGAGCUCAGUGGAACGGCCAGCUCAUGGUGUUGGUGGUAGACUUUCCGGGUGGUGGUCCUCCUUUUGGUUUGGUGCACGAUUUUCUUUUGUUUUGCCUUGUUUCGUUUGCUGUGUUUCUUUUCUUGUAGGACACUACCCCAAAUUGCACUUCCGUCCCUGAGUUGCGCUAACACUGACUUUUAAUGUCUGCUAUAAGAUUAGUCGGACCCAACAGGUGCUCUGGAAGAGCUGAAAUCUACAACAAUGGAUCCUGGGGAACAGUCUGCAAUGUGAGCAAAGACUUAAACGACGGCAGAGUAUUAUGCAGACAGCUGGGUUGUGGUACAGCACUGGGUCUCCUUCACUUUGGAGAGGGAGCAGGGGAAAUCUGGCUGGAUGAUGUGACCUGUACAGGAAGUGAAAGACAUUUCUCGGAGUGUUUGCAGACUGGAUCUGUGAGACAGGACUGCGCACACAGUGAGGAUCUUGGUGUCAUCUGUUCGGGCCUAAUAAAACCCACGAUCACAAAUCCUCAAAGUGACAUUAGCUUUGGUCAGAAUCUCCGCAUCACUUGUUUGGUCCCCGAUGGACAAGUAGGGGGAACAUUCAUCUUCAAUCGGACCUCGGAUGGUUUUGGUCAGACCGUAGAGUCGAACAGCAACUCUGGAACAUUUUACAUCCCUCAAAUUGGUUUUGAGCAUGAGGGAAACUAUCAGUGUCAGUUUCACACAAGGGUUGCUAAUGAGAACUUCAGCACAGACCUUAGCGACACUGUUCAGCUAUAUUCAAAAGUAGUCCUUCUGCAACCCACCAUCUCCAUGGAUCCAGCUGGUGUGAUUACUUGGGGUCAGCUUGUUGCCAUCACCUGUUCCAUCUCAACCCCGUUUUUAAAUGGGUUGUUCAUUCUCCAGAAACACCAACCAGAUUCUCAUCAAAACAUUAAGACCCAGUCAUCAAGCACCAACUCUUCCACAUUCAGAUUUCUUGAAGUCAACUCUAAUCAUGGGGGAAAUUACAAGUGUUAUUAUGAAAAAACAGUUACAUCUCGAACUCUUACUUCCCCUUUAAGUGAGAAUGUUGAACUUUCUAUUACUGAUGGUUAAAGCGAUGGACAAAACCAUGGAUUUUUGCAACUUUCCUGUUGUCUCUUUUUUUUUUUUUUUUUUAAAGAUUGUACCUUUUGUUUUAGCAUUAUUCUCUCUUAGAUCCCCAAGUCACUCAAUGUUUCCCAGCUCUGAAAAAAAAGCAUCCAUCCUGGUAGUUUCUGUAUAUAACUCAUAAUUAUUGUGAAAUAUUAAUAAUAAAGAAUUUGGUAAUUACCUGAGUAAUCUUUAGUAAGAAAUCAACUGUAUCAAAUAAAAUUAUAUGGAACGAAUUUGCUUUUUGUAAGUCUGUUUAAGCUGUUCAGACAUAAUUGUUUUUGGCUUCUGUGAAACUUUGUGUUCCACUUUGUUGUGACCUGCUGUUGAAAUAUAAACUAGCUUAUCCUGGUAUUAUAGUUUUGUCAUUUAGUGAUAUAAUAGAACUGGUUGUUUACAUGCAGUACCUUGCGGACCAAUAGGUGGCGCCAGUGGACCACCAGUGAUCCCGGGACCACAGUUUGAGAAA